AAAAAGGGGCUUUAAGGAAAAAGAGCUUUAAAAAAGCUUUUCCGUAAGAUAAUGCCGGGGAAGGUUUUCCGGUUUAUCCCGGAGGGCUUGUAGCUCAGUUGGUUAGAGCGCGCGCUUGAUAAGCGUGAGGUCGGAGGUUCAAGUCCUCCCAGGCCCACCAUUUUGUAUCAAUCUAUAAGCGCUUGUAGAACUUUCUUCUAUAAGGCUUUCUUGUAUAUUUAUAUGAAGCUUAUCUACGAAGAAGUUUCCUUAUCAAAAUGUGAAGUUUCUUUCCUUUGCUUAAGCAAUCGGGAGUUAAAGCGGUUCAAACGAACAGUGAUCCCAUAAAGGGUAAUGUUGAAUUGAAAAAUCUCAUUUACAAGUUUUGAACCUUUUCUCUUUAUUUAGGGGCCGUAGCUCAUCUGGGAGAGCACCUGCUUUGCAAGCAGGGGGUCGUCGGUUCGGGG
rnacentral:misc_RNA from 1 species